GACGAACGCUGGCGGCAUGCCUAAUACAUGCAAGUCGAACGCGGCCAUCCGGUGCUUGCACUGGUGAAGCCGAGUGGCGAACGGGUGAGUAACACGUGAGAAACCUGCCCUGGAGUGGGGAAUAACUCGAAGAAAUUCGAGCUAAUACCGCAUACCUUCUCUUCACCGCAUGGUGAGUUGAAGAAAGAUUUAUCGCUCUAGGAGGGUCUCGCGGCCUAUCAGCUAGUUGGUGAGGUAAUGGCUCACCAAGGCAUCGACGGGUAGCUGGUCUGAGAGGACGAUCAGCCACACUGGGACUGAGACACGGCCCAGACUCCUACGGGAGGCAGCAGUAGGGAAUCUUGCGCAAUGGGCGAAAGCCUGACGCAGCAACGCCGCGUGGAGGAUGAAGGCCUUCGGGUCGUAAACUCCUGUCGAUGGGGACGAACACAAUGACUGUACCCGUGAGGAAGCCACGGCUAACUCCGUGCCAGCACG
rnacentral:rRNA from 1 species